GAUGAACGCUGGCGGCGUGCCUAAUACAUGCAAGUCGAGCGAACAGACGAGGAGCUUGCUCCUCUGACGUUAGCGGCGGACGGGUGAGUAACACGUGGAUAACCUACCUAUAAGACUGGGAUAACUUCGGGAAACCGGAGCUAAUACCGGAUAAUAUAUUGAACCGCAUGGUUCAAUAGUGAAAGACGGUCUUGCUGUCACUUAUAGAUGGAUCCGCGCCGCAUUAGCUAGUUGGUAAGGUAACGGCUUACCAAGGCAACGAUGCGUAGCCGACCUGAGAGGGUGAUCGGCCACACUGGAACUGAGACACGGUCCAGACUCCUACGGGAGGCAGCAGUAGGGAAUCUUCCGCAAAGGGCGAAAGCCUGACGGAGCAACGCCGCGUGAGUGAUGAAGGUCUUCGGAUCGUAAAACUCUGUUAUUAGGGAAGAACAAAUGUGUAAGUAACUGUGCACGUCUUGACGGUACCUAAUCAGAAAGCCACGGCUAACUACGUG
rnacentral:rRNA from 1 species